rnacentral:lncRNA from 1 species
AUGUGAUCUCUCCCUUUGGUGGCUGGACUCCCAGGCAUGGUGGCUGGACUCCCAGGAUGAGUGUUCCCAGGGAAAAAGCCAGAGCUAUUUCGCUGUAUAAGGAGUGCAUUUCCCACCACCCUUCACCAUGCAGAAAGAGAAUCUGGGCCUGUAGGAAGCCCAGUGAUUGCUCAGUUAUCCCAGCAACAGCAU